AAUGAGCAUUAGGAAAGAGUUCCAUGUACUUUCAUUUUGUUCUAUUCAAAAUGUGCUUAAUUAUCAAAAAAGAUGUGAUACCAAAUGUCAACCCAGCUUUCUACAUUUCUGAUAGAUGCUUUCAUUAUCAGUGAUUCAAUCAGCAGCACAUAGUGGGACACUAUGUUAAUAUUUUAAAGUGCUUUAAAAUUUCCCAUGAGGUCAAUGAUGACAAUAACAAUGCGUAUGCCUCCUGUAGUCUAAAGAAGUAAUAAAAACCACCUCCAAUAAAUGGCAAUUUAAUUAUAUGGAAUUGCAUUUGAAAACCCUUUCAUUUCUUUGCACAAAUACUGACAAGUCUCUCUCUCCCCAGUGAUUUCUCAUCUUUUUCCUUAAAAUGGAAAAGUGAUUAAACGUGUCAAAGCAAAUACCUCUGCAUUUUAGGAUUUCAAGUAAAUUAAAAAUUCAGUGAUUGUCUGAAAACAGUCAGAUAGAAGCAUCUAAUAAGAAAUCAUCAGUGCCUAAUGGAGCAAGUUUGCACCAAACUUAGAAAUACCUUUAAUGAUUCAUAAAUCUAUUUUGAAUGAUAGCUGAAAAUUAAGUUCAUCCCAUCCCUAAUAAUACAGUUUAACAGCUCUUAGUGGUUCAAUACUGUAGCAUGAAUUCCAUACAAAACAUGGUUAAGUCCCAGGUAUACUUAUGAAGUGAAAUAACUGUUUUAUUGCUAAGUUAAAUCCCAUCUCCUUCCACUGACCCAAGAGCAACACAAUUAGCAUAUUUGUUACUCAGAAAUAAGAUGGGGUACAAAGUUGCAGUUUAAUGCAGGCAUUAGCACAUCUUAAAUGGAAAUCUGGGUGUUAGAAUCCAGUGAUUUUUCUUUUAGAUAUUCAGAAGUGUUGGCCAUGCCUAAAAUUCACAGCUGAAACUGAGUGAUGGAGUUUUCAUCUCUAUCAUUCUGCCUUCCUGUGUGUGCCAGACUGAAUUAUGUCCUUGCUGAGCAGCUACUGGAGGCCUGCAGCACACAAUGCACUUGGAAGAUAUAGCGAGGCAUAAAACAGGCUCCCUAAGCACGAAGAGUUUAUUCUCCAAAGGAGGAAAUGGGCCUCAACAAAAAAUUACAAUGCAUUGUAAUAAAUUCCAUAAAAUUGAUACAUAAAAGUUGUUUUAUGUAUAAAGAAAAGAAUAACUUGCUCCCCAGAAAAUUCAGUGGAGGCCGGAGAAAGGAAGUAACAUUUGAUCAGAUGUAUAAAGGAAAGGUCAGAUCUUGGGAUCUGGGCCAGGGAAUACCACAAAGGAAACUUUAUUUACAUGGCACAAAAUUGCCUAACUAGAGCACAGAGCUUAUAUAGAAACGUAGGCACAGUACUCACAUUAACUCAAAUUGAGAUUUUACUUUAUUUAUUGGGUCACUCUUAGAAGUGUGCAAUGGAUAUAAUCACAAGACAAAACAUGAAUUUCUGAAAUGUGAAUUCAUUGAACUGGUGUGAAGGCUCAGUCAGGAAAGUUGUUGGCAUGCGAAGACCAGAACUGUGUUCAUAUCCCUGGCACCCAAGACAAAGUCAGCCAUGAUCAUGCAUAUUUGUUAUUUCUGAACUGGGUAGAGGGAAAGAAGACAUCUGGCUUCCUUGGGCUUGUCCUGACUGCCAGCCUAACGAAUCCUGUGAGCUCAGUGAGAAGUCUUAUCUCAAUAAAUAAGGAGGAGGGCAGAGGAGUUUCUUAGUGUUUACAAGGCUUGUCAUUCAAGCAUCCGGACUAGCAUCCAGACCUCCAGGUGCCAUGGAAAUACUGAAUAGAUAUGACUAGCGAGACUAGCCAUGUGAACAAUCUCAGGGUUUGAUUCAGAGACUGUCACUCAGUGAGUAAGAUGGAAAACUACUGUUAUUCUUGAUAAUAACCUCAGGUGUCCAUACACAUGCACACAUAUAUGCACAUGUGCACACAUCUGUUGAGGACAGAUAUACAAACAUUACAUACAC
rnacentral:lncRNA from 1 species